CAACCAUCAUCUUCCUCCUGCUUGCAGUGGCCGGGUGCCUUCAUCCAUCACCUUGGCCUGUCUUGCAGUCAGCUCCAUUGGGUAGGUGGUACCAUGGCCCCAUCCUACAGAUGAGAACACUGAGCACCAGAGAGGGCCCAAUCACCUCACUUGGAAUCCACCAUUGCUACCUGCUGCCGGCACCUCCAAAGGCUGCUUGGUUUCCACCUGCCCACCUCCUCCUCCUCUGCAGAGCCCCUGGCCUCCUUCAGCCAGACGACUCUGCAGCCACCUCCUGCCUCUGCUGCAUCCCCCUCCAGGGACCACCCCCACCAGCGGGGCACAGCCUGCAAGAAGUGCCUCUUAACCUUUGCGUGUGUGAAGGGGACGUGUCCACAAGACCCUGGGGCGGGUCCUGAGUCCAGGCGGGAUCUCUGCACGGAGCGGACGUCCCAGCCACGCUCUCCUCCCCACAAAGGGGGGACGGCCGUGGCUGUGAGGUGGACAUCUAUCACCCAGGCCAGACUUGAAGACGCACAAUCAGGGCCCCUGCUCCACGAGGAGGGCCCCUAAGACAGACACAGAUGUAUAUUGACUCGUGCGGGAGAGAGCUAAAGUCUCGAGACUCCCGUGUAAAUGUCAGGGACACUGCAGGGCAGAGAUGGGCGCCCUGCGGGGAGGUGGAGGGGUUGGUGGGCCGAGGAGGAUGGAGAAGAGUGAGUAGGAGAUAUGUGGAGAAGCGUGUUCCACUGGAUAGAAGUGGAGACCUGUCAGUCACCCAGUUGCCACCUCCCCUUCCAGAUUCCGGACCUCUGCACGGGGCCUUCUCCUGCGAGCCCAGGCCUCGCUCUGUUUGGACAGCUCUGCCAGCAUCAGUGGUUACCACUGCUCUCCUGGCCUCUGUUCCCCGAGCUGAUGCUGCUUGAAGCAGGGCUGUCUGGAGUGAUGGCUUGACAGGAUGAUGGAUGGGGACCAGGCACGGCUUCUGACACCGCAGCACAUACUCUGCAUUCUUUAUCUGGGGCUGCUGCCGGCGGAAGGCUGCAAAUAAGCUCUCCAGCUACAGGGAUCGCUGAUAAAAGUCCACUGUGGGUGCGGAGACGAUCAUACUGGAUUCAACAGCGCGCAGGCCUGGGAGGCGAGGGGCAUGUUGGGAGCGGAGGGCUGCCGCUGAGGAAAUUUUCCCUGAGCCUGGAGGCUCUGGCACUGGAAUUCCAUAAAAGUCACUGGUCUGAGCGGAGACUCAAACCAUCUCUGACAUCCAAUUGUCUUUUCCAUUUGUGAGUCAAGGAAAAUUACAUGGGCCGUGCUGCAGCCAAGAGGCCGAGACCUCA
rnacentral:lncRNA from 1 species